GCCUGGGUGGCUUGGUCGGUUAAGCGUCUGACUUCAGCUCAGGUCAUGAUCUCACAGUCCGUGAGUUCGAGACCCGCGUCAGGCU
rfam:Felis catus isolate Cinnamon breed Abyssinian chromosome B4, whole genome shotgun sequence.